GAAGAGUUCCUUCUGUAGAUGGGGGACGGGGCUCGAACCUCUGUCCUUGCGGUGGUGACAUGCACUCUACCAGAUGAGCCUGUAGCCCACCGUGGAGCUACCAAGCAGACAGCUUCCUCCUGCUGGGAAUCCCCACCUCUGCCCUUCCACCUGCUCACGCCUGCACCCAGCUGUGGCCGAAACAGACUCAUCUGCCUCUGGGCAGCUGACCCCACUGGACUGCACACUGUGGGUGUGAAGGCAACACUCAGGGCAGAGAAAGACGCCGGCCGACGUGGUCCCACCUGCAUAUCCUCCUCCCCCAGGUGCCCAAGACACCUCAGCCUCACCUGGAGAAUCCCGCUGACAUCACAACCGACCCUGACACCCUGAACCAGCCCGGGCGGUGGCAGUCUUGUGCCCAGGGAACCAUGACUGAGGGGACCAGAGGGGCCUGUGGUCAUCGGGCAUGGGGGAGCCAGCAUGGAGCUAGGAGCUUUAUUGAGAGGCUAAGGGCAGACGCCUAAAGUGACAGACACCCUGGGCCACCAUGGGAUGCUCGGGAGCCAUUAUUAAUGGCUGUAAUUAUGCAGCCUCCCUCCAUCUGUGAGUGGACCUCGUCCCUUGCCGGGACACAAUGCAGAGUACUUAGCACAACACCUGACGUUUAAUAAGUAGCCAAUAGAUGUUAAGUAUC